CCUACGGGUGGCAGCAGUAGGGAAUAUUGCUCAAUGGGGGAAACCCUGAAGCAGCAACGCCGCGUGAAGGAUGAAGGUUUUCGGAUUGUAAACUCCUUUUGUUAGGGAAGAUAAUGACGGUAUCUCACUUAUAAGCACCGGCUAACUCCGUGCCAGCAGCCGCGGUGAUACGUAGGGUGCAAGCGUUACUCGGAUUUACUGAGCGUAAAGAGCGCGUAGGCGGGGUAGCAAGUCUGAUGUGAAAUCCUAUGGCUUAACCAUAGAACUGCAUUUGAAACUGUUAUUCUAGAGUAUGGGAGAGGUAGGUGGAAUUCUUGGUGUAGGGGUAAAAUGCGUAGAGAUCAAGAGGAAUACUCAUUGCGAAGGCGACCUACUAGAACAUAACUGACGCUGAGGCGCGAAAGCGUGGGGAGCAAACAGGAUUAGAUACCCUUGUAGUC
rnacentral:rRNA from 1 species